GACGAACGCUGGCGGCGUGCCUAAUACAUGCAAGUCGAACGCUGAAGGAGGAGCUUGCUUCUCUGGAUGAGUUGCGAACGGGUGAGUAACGCGUAGGUAACCUGCCUGGUAGCGGGGGAUAACUAUUGGAAACGAUAGCUAAUACCGCAUAAUAGCAGUUGUUGCAUGACAACUGUUUGAAAGGUGCAAUUGCACCACUACCAGAUAGACCUGCGUUGUAUUAGCUAGUUGGUGGGGUAACGGCUCACCAAGGCGACGAUACAUAGCCGACCUGAGAGGGGGAUCGGCCACACUGGGACUGAGACACGGCCCAGACUCCUACGGGAGGCAGCAGUAGGGAAUCUUCGGCAAUGGACGGAAGUCUGACCGAGCAACGCCGCGUGAGGGAAGAAGGUUUUCGGAUCGUAAAGCUCUGUUGUAAGAGAAGAACGAGUGUGAGAGUGGAAAGUUCACACUGUGACGGUAUCUUACCAGAAAGGGACGGCUAACUACGUG
rnacentral:rRNA from 1 species